UGUCAAUCCAGUGUCGCUAUCCAGUAAAUGACACCAGUACCCUUUCUCUCCAGUACACUGUCAAUACAAGUCUCCACCUCUCACCCACGCCAUCCAGAGACACACACAUGGAAACAAUCGGCACAGGUCAAAGAAAAAUGAAGGUCACUUUGGAUGGACAGCAUAAACCUCCACUAGGGAACGUGUCUGGAGUCUCGGUAUGGCUGAAGUGGAGGCUGGCCUCCGUGCUGCUGCUGCUCCUCUGCUGUGUGCUGAUGGCUGCGUACAGGACCUCUAAA